GCUCCGACGGCAACCUUUACCUCUGUGAGUACCGUAGUGGUGCCGGCCUGCUGCCCUACCAUGCGCAACAACUGACGGUGUGCCUGUCAUUGUGUAUGGUGAAGUAUACCCAUGGUUGCGAAACUUGCCUUUUACCCCGCCUUCCCUUCGCUGCCCCACAGACUGUCCGGUGUGCUUGCGCUACCCACGCGACAGCAGCAUGUGCCCCCUCACGUCCUCCAUUGAGUACCUGUGCGCGGGUGACGAGGUCAGCACCGUACUGAGCGGCGACACAGGAGAGCCGGUCCCUGGCGGCAUUGCCACGCUGCCUGGCUGGGCCCCCUAUUCAAACUACUGCCAGUGGGUGCGCUGGCAGCAGGAUGACUUCGCGCAGCAGCCCAUUUACUACAGCAUCAAAGACGGUGAGUGACGUCUUGCAAUAGACGCUGCCGUCUGAGCGCGUGUCGCAGCUAUCUGCAUGUGUGUCCUGAUCCCAAUGCACUUCCCUGGAGGGGGACUGGAGGGCCUCCUGGAGCCCAGGUGUCCCAGACGCAGUUGUUUCUAAUUAUUCGUUAUCCGCCACCGUCUCACCUGUUGCCUAUGCUGCCAUAACGAACGCAGGCGACGGCGCCUGCGUGCGCCGCGCUGGCAACAGCGUCAACGUCACCAUCCAGGGCCUGGACGCAAUGUGCACGGCCCCGCGGCAGAACGCUUUCGGCAAGCCCGCUGGUUGCCAGGGCAACGACAACAUUGACAACGAGGUGUGUGAGCGCGCUGCAGUGCGGUGGGGCCCACAUUCGCGCAUGCACACAUGCGCCCACCAGUGCUGGAUGCGGGGCAGGGUAGGACAGGGAGUGCAAGGGGCACGCGGCCAUUGACCACACACUGGGGCUAGUAAGGCAGCACAAUCUCCUCAGUGAUGUCAUUCCCCUGCAUGCCUUGUUCUCUACCACAGUGCCUGUGGCAAUUCCUGGUGCCGCGGCCCGGCGGACCUGGCUGGGAAGGCCAGGUGUGCACCUCCCCUCCGCCACCCUCCGCCCCGGCCCCCAACACGCCAAGCCGGCAGCGCCCACCGCGCCCGCCGGCCAAGCCUGGCAAGCGCGCGCCCAACGUGCCGCCGGCACCUGCGCCGCCGCCGCCCCGCCGCAACAUCCCCUUCCCCUUCUGCGCGUGCAAGAAGCGCAACGUCAAGAACACGCCGUACCGGCUCACCUACGCCUCCAGCAACCCCAUGUCACCGCUGCCCGGCGGCAUUCCUCGGAUUAAGCAUUGCUUCGAGAUCGACACGGUGGAUUGCGACCCCAGCACCUCGUGCUGCGGGAUGGGCAUGAAGAAGAUAGGUGAGUGCGUGGUGUAUGUGUUGCUAGGGGCCCUGUGGUGCGUACCGGGCUGCUGCGCCACACGCACACACGCGCCGGGCUUGCGGCCACCUUGGCGAUACAUGCCCCUGCUCUGCAUGCCUUUCCUGAUCAAGUGCCUGUCUUACUCAUCCCUACCCUGCCGUGUGGUGUUGUCGAUUUCCCGCCCGCAACAGAGAUGUUUGUCAGAAACGAGUGUCGCCAGUCAGUGAAGCUAGCGCUGCUUGGCGACCAGAGCCAAAGCCAGAGUAUCAGCUGGUCCUUCACUCAGGAUACGCACGAUGGCUCCACCUACACCACCUUCAAGUUCCCCAACCUCCACCUCAGUCGGGACGAGAUUCGUAACGCCACCAGCCUUUGCAUCGUCCUCUCCGACAGCUGCGCCAAGCUAGAGAACUUCUGUUACGACGGCAAAGACAACCAGUGCCGCGUAACGUUCUUCAGCGAGGAUGAAAGCUGCUGGUGAGUGCGCGGCGCGGCGCGUGUGCGUGUGCGUGUGGGGGCGUGGGACCAACAGUUCGCUCGUCAGCAUGGGAACUCAAUGCAUAGGCUUCGUGUUUCGAAGCUUAUUAGCAAGUGACUUGCCUGUUCGUUCCCUGACUCACUCUUGCUUUGCUGGUAUGUGCGUGCGUGUGUUUGUGUGUGUGUGUGCCCUGCAGCCCUACCGGCCUGACAAGUGUGGGCAACCAAGCCACUGCUCCUGAGGUGGAGGUAGACAACUCACCGCCGGAGGCAGUGGUCACCGGGGACCUAGGUCGCCAUCGGAGCUCCUUCCGGAGAUAGUCGUCAGCAUGAGAGUCCGGAGAUAGUCGUCAGCAUGAGAGUCCGGAGAUAGUCGUCAGCAUGAGAGUCCGGAGAUAGUCGUCAGCAGUAGAGUGUCAGCAGUCCGACAGCCAGCAGGCAGCCGGAACGGAAGGCUGCGGCUGUGAGACAGGAUUUGCUUGUUAGUUCGUUUGUUAGAGUGUAUCACAUGGCAGAGUUGCAUGUGUACGGUAGUAUGAGACGCAUUCCAAUCACCCCGAACAAACACUUUCGUACCUGCAUGCCCGCGCGGUGAGAAGGUACGGCGCAUCGCCACGUUUACGAGUGGGUCUUCCGAGUUAGGCAACAUGCG
rnacentral:lncRNA from 1 species